AUACGGAGGGUGCGAGCGUUAAUCGGAAUUACUGGGCGUAAAGCGCUCGUAGGCGGUUUGUUAAGUCGGAUGUGAAAGCCCCGGGCUCAACCUGGGAACUGCAUUCGAUACUGGCAAACUAGAGUAUAGUAGAGGCAAGUGGAAUUCCGGGUGUAGCGGUGAAAUGCGUAGAUAUCCGGAGGAACAUCAGUGGCGAAGGCGACUUCCUGGGCCAAUACUGACGCUGAGGUGCGAAAGCGUGGGGAGCAAACAGGAUUAGAAACCCCAGUAGUCC
rnacentral:rRNA from 1 species